rnacentral:rRNA from 1 species
UACGAAGGGGGCUAGCGUUGUUCGGAAUCACUGGGCGUAAAGGGUGCGUAGGCGGGUCUUUUAAGUCAGGGGUGAAAUCCUGGAGCUCAACUCCAGAACUGCCUUUGAUACUGAAGAUCUUGAGUUCGGGAGAGGUGAGUGGAACUGCGAGUGUAGAGGUGAAAUUCGUAGAUAUUCGCAAGAACACCAGUGGCGAAGGCGGCUCACUGGCCCGAUACUGACGCUGAGGCACGAAAGCGUGGGGAGCAAACAGGG